AUAUGCCUUUGGAAGAGUCGAUGAAAGUGUGCUCAACUCUGAGACCCCCGCUACUCAUUUUGAAGAAAGUCAAAAUAUAGCGGUAUUAAUUUUUAAAUAUACCAAAAUAACCGCAGAAAUACUGGAAAUUUACAAAAGGAUAUUCUAGUUGUGGCCACAAACAAAAAUUUGAUUUCCUAUUGAUGGGAAAAGCAUCGGACUCCGUUUGUCGAUUGGCAGACAAAUGUCAGAUCAGAAACUACAUACAUACAUGUCAAUCGAUAAAGUAACGACAAAAGGCACUCACAGAAUAAAGCAACACCGAAUUUUGUCAUUUGGAGUCAUUGCAUUUCGAGGAUAUAAACGCCAUUGGUGGUUGGAGAAUACACGCAUCAACAUGGCAGACAAUAAUGAGCCAGUGUCGCUAACGCCACCGGAUGCACGGCGAAUAUUUUUGAAAGAAUUAAAACGUCGUAUUAUUAAAGCACGCAGUGCCCAAACGGUUGGUUGGCUGGAGCAACACUUAGAGAAUGCAACCGAUUCAGUCUUGGCACAAAUCGAUGAUAAAUUGAACACGUUGAACACGUUCCUGCUAAGAAAAAAUAGCAUAUUGAUUGAU